UUUAAUGUUAUACCUACACAAUCAUUAUUACAUAAAUUUAAAAAUCUUUUUCUUAAUCUCAUAAUAUCAUUGUUGAUCUGUUUGGAAUAGCUUUAGAUCUAAUGUUUUUAUAAUUCCAAAAGAUAAUUGUUUAAUUUUAUUUAUAAUAGCUCCUAUCUGACCCUUAGCUAUAGAUAUUUAAAAUCUCAAUAAUGUUUGACUUAAGAAAAAUACUUUUUGUUGUACUUCUUAUUGUUAUGUUUGCGUUUUGGACCGAUGGCAUAAGUUUAUUAGGAAUUUCAAAACAAGGUAGAAUGCACCGCGAACAAUAUAUGGAAAGCACAUGGAUUUCUGGUACUGCCCAAGUGUUAAGUAAAACAUUUGAUGACAUUAUGCGAAAAUUACGUUGUUCGGCUUGUGUGUGAAUAAUAAAAUGUCGGAAAAAUAUUACACGAAUAUUAUGAAUGUAAGCUAUGUAACCAAGCUAUGAGUAAAAUUAUAUACAAUUAUGAAUAUAUAUAUAUAUAUUUAUUUUUAUUUCAAAGUUUUAAUUAAAGUUUAAGUGGUUAAAUGGUUAUUAUAGUAAUAUAGUCAUGUAUAAUUAUAA